UCUCCCCCCUUUUACACCAAACCUUGUUCCUUGCCAAGGGCGGAGAUGUCAUCGUUUUCACAAGAUGGUCACCCGCCUUUUGCAGAAAACGGAGUAGUGUUGGGGUGUGGCGCACUGUCACUUGACUACCUGGCGACAGUGGAUGCGUUUCCCAA